rnacentral:rRNA from 1 species
GAUCCUGGCUCAGAAUCAACGCUGGCGGCGUGCCUAAUACAUGCAAGUCGAACGCGAAAGUCCCGCAAGGGAUCAGUAGAGUGGCAAACGGGUGAGUAACACGUGGGUGACCUGCCUUCGAGUGGGGGAUAACGUCCCGAAAGGGACGCUAAUACCGCAUGACAUCCUGCCUUUUAAGAGGUGGAGAUCAAAGCUGGGGAUCGCAAGACCUAGCGCUUGAAGAGGGGCCCGCGUCCGAUUAGCUAGUUGGUGGGGUAAUGGCUCACCAAGGCAACGAUCGGUAGCCGGCCUGAGAGGGCGGACGGCCACACUGGGACUGAGACACGGCCCAGACUCCUACGGGAGGCAGCAGUAGGGAAUUGUUCGCAAUGGGCGCAAGCCUGACGACGCAACGCCGCGUGGAGGAUGAAGACCUUCGGGUCGUAAACUCCUUUCGAUCGAGACGAACGGCCUCCGGGUGAAUAAUCCGGAGGAGUGACGGUACCGAGAGAAGAAGCCCCGGCUAACUCCGUGCCAGCAGCCGCGGUAAUACGGGGGGGGCAAGCGUUGUUCGGAAUUACUGGGCGUAAAGGGCUCGUAGGCGGCCAACUAAGUCGGACGUGAAAUCCCUCGGCUUAACCGGGGAACUGCGUCUGAUACUGGAUGGCUUGAGAUUGGGAGAGGGAUGCGGAAUUCCAGGUGUAGCGGUGA